GAUGAACGCUGGCUACAGGCUUAACACAUGCAAGUCGAGGGGAAACGACGGGGAAGCUUGCUUCCCCGGGCGUCGACCGGCGCACGGGUGAGUAACGCGUAUCCAACCUGCCUCUGACUGAGGGAUAACCCGUCGAAAGUCGGCCUAAUACCUCAUGGUAUCGUCUGCGGGCAUCCAACGACGAUUAAAGAUUUCAUCGGUCAGGGAUGGGGAUGCGUCUGAUUAGCUUGUUGGCGGGGUAACGGCCCACCAAGGCUACGAUCAGUAGGGGUUCUGAGAGGAAGGUCCCCCACAUUGGAACUGAGGCACGGUCCAAACUCCUACGGGAGGCAGCAGUGAGGAAUAUUGGUCAAUGGGCGAGAGCCUGAACCAGCCAAGUAGCGUGCAGGAAGACGGCCCUAUGGGUUGUAAACUGCUUUUAUGCGGGGAUAAAGUGAGGGACGUGUCCCUCAUUGCAGGUACCGCAUGAAUAAGGACCGGCUAAUUCCGUG
rnacentral:rRNA from 1 species